rnacentral:rRNA from 1 species
AUUGAACGCUGGCGGCAGGCUUAACACAUGCAAGUCGAGCGGAGCGAGGGUGCUUGCACCUUAGCUUAGCGGCGGACGGGUGAGUAAUGCUUAGGAAUCUGCCUAUUAGUGGGGGACAACAUUCCGAAAGGAAUGCUAAUACCGCAUACGCCCUACGGGGGAAAGCAGGGGAUCUUCGGACCUUGCGCUAAUAGAUGAGACUAAGUCGGAUUAGCUAGUUGGUGGGGUAAAGGCCUACCAAGGCGACGAUCUGUAGCGGGUCGGAGAGGAUGAUCCGCCACACUGGGACUGAGACACGGCCCAGACUCCUACGGGAGGCAGCAGUGGGGAAUAUUGGACAAUGGGCGGAAGCCUGAUCCAGCCAUGCCGCGUGUGUGAAGAAGGCCUUUUGGUUGUAAAGCACUUUAAGCGAGGAGGAGGCUCUUAAGGUUAAUACCCUUGAUGAGUGGACGUUACUCGCAGAAUAAGCACCGGCUAACUCUGUGCCAGCAGCCGCCGUAAGAC